rnacentral:rRNA from 1 species
AAACAUGGCUCUUUGAAUUUAUUUCGAUAGAGAGUCAGGCCUGCCCAGUGAAUAAUAUUUAACGGCCGCGGUACUCUGACCGUGCAAAGGUAGCAUAAUCAUUUGCCUUAUAAUUGAAGGCUAGUAUGAAUGGUUUAACGAGAGCAAUACUGUCUCCUUUUUAUUUUCAAGAACUUAACCUUUAGGUGAAGAGGCCUAAAUUUGAUUGAAGGACAAGAAGACCCUGUCGAGCUUAAAAGACAUUGUAGAAGUAUAUGUAUAUAUAUAUAUUAAAUAAAUUUACUAUUAAGCUUUUUAGUUGGGGCGACUAAGGAACAAAAAAAGCUUCUUGUAAUAAACAAACAACCAAGUUUUGAUCCGAUAACAAUCGAUUAAAGAAAUUAGUUACCGCAGGGAUAACAGCAUAAUCUCUCUUGAGAGACCUAAUCGAAAGAGGGGGUUGUGACCUCGAUGUUGGACUAGAAUAUCCUAAAGAUGCAGAAGUCUUUAAGGGUCGGUCUGUUCGACCGUUAAAAUUCUACGUGAU